rnacentral:rRNA from 1 species
GUGGCGCACGGGUGAGUAACGCGUGGAUAUCUGCCUUUUGGUUCGGAAUAACUCCGGGAAACUGGAGCUAAUACCGGAUGGUUCCUACGGGAUAAAGAUUUAUCGCCAAAAGAUGAGUCCGCGUACGAUUAGCUAGUUGGUGGGGUAAUGGCCCACCAAGGCGACGAUCGUUAGCUGGUCUGAGAGGACGAUCAGCCACACUGGGACUGAGACACGGCCCAGACUCCUACGGGAGGCAGCAGUGGGGAAUAUUGGACAAUGGGGGCAACCCUGAUCCAGCCAUGCCGCGUGAGUGAUGAAGGCCUUCGGGUUGUAAAGCUCUUUUGGCGGGGACGAUGAUGACGGUACCCGCAGAAUAAGCCCCGGCUAACUUCGUGCCAGCAGCCGCGGUAAGACGAAGGGGGCUAGCGUUGUUCGGAAUUACUGGGCGUAAAGCGAGUGUAGGUGGUUGUCAUAGUCAGGUGUGAAAGCCUUGAGCUCAACUCAAGAAAUGCACUUGAUACUGGGCGACUAGAGGACCGGAGAGGAUAGUGGAAUUCCCAGUGUAGUGGUGGAAUGCGCAGAUAUCAGGAGGAACACCGAUGGCGAAGGCAGAUCUCUGGGCCGUAACUGACGCUGAGGAGCGAAAGGGUGGGGAGCAAACAGGCUUAGAUACCCUGGUAGUCCAC